GAAGACUUGGAAGUUGUUCGUGUAAAUGUAUUUUCGAUAUCUUUUUAGAUUCUCUUUAAUAUCGUGUAUCGGGUCAUCGCGUGUAUCGACGAUACUGUUUCAAUUAAAGCAUUCAAUAUGUUUGUAAAAUAUUGACUACACACCAAGCUACACACCAAGCUUCCGAGAAAUAUUAUCAAAACAAACAAGACCUCCGAGAUUUACAGGACUUAUAAGAGUUACAAGAUUUUCAGGUUUCCAAGACUUUCGGGAGUUUUAGGAUAUCGAAUUCUACUCGAAGUGAUUCGGAGUACUUGACAACCCAUUAAUAGAUCGAGUCGUAAGUCGAGCGAACGAUCGUACACGUUAUUCCGUUAUUAGGGACGAUCACCUAGGAACCGUAUUCCACGAAAGUAAGGACGGACUGGUCGUGCGCGUUAAUUAUCGGGAAACAUGAAACGCGACGACAGCAUUGGCGAAUUAUAAGUCAAUUAAAUCACCGUACAAGUGACGAAUGUUUAAACCUUUAACGUGAUCGCAGGUUGAGUAGAUCGUCGAACCAGUUCUUAGUAAAAGGAAUAUCUGUAUAGAUUUUCUGCUUGGCGGAUUUUAUUCUAACUCUUUCUUAAAUCUGAGAACUAAAGAACCCACAUUUUUCAUCAGAAGUUUUUAACAAGGUAUUACUGAAUAAACUUAUAAAACUUCAAAGGUACUUUUAUGUGAUUACACAAAUGUAACACUGUGAAAAUAAGAUGCAGAAUCUGAUAAAUGGACAAUUAUAU